GACGAACGCUGGCGGCGUGCCUAAUACAUGCAAGUAGAACGCACAGUUUAUACCGUAGCUUGCUACACCAUAGACUGUGAGUUGCGAACGGGUGAGUAACGCGUAGGUAACCUGCCUGGUAGCGGGGGAUAACUAUUGGAAACGAUAGCUAAUACCGCAUAAUAUUAAUUAUUGCAUGAUAAUUGAUUGAAAGAUGCAACUGCAUCACUACCAGAUGGACCUGCGUUGUAUUAGCUAGUAGGUGAGGUAACGGCUCACCUAGGCGACGAUACAUAGCCGACCUGAGAGGGUGAUCGGCCACACUGGGACUGAGACACGGCCCAGACUCCUACGGGAGGCAGCAGUAGGGAAUCGUCGGCAAUGGACGAAAGUCUGACCGAGCAACGCCGCGUGAGUGAAGAAGGUUUUCGGAUCGUAAAGCUCUGUUGCAAGAGAAGAACGGGUGUGAGAGUGGAAAGUUCACACUGUGACGGUAUCUGACCAGAAAGGGACGGCUAACUACGUG
rnacentral:rRNA from 1 species